GAUGAACGCUGGCGGCGUGCCUAAUACAUGCAAGUCGAGCGAACGGACGAGAAGCUUGCUUUUCUGAUGUUAGCGGCGGACGGAUGAGUAACACGUGGAUAACCUACCUAUAAGACUGGGAUAACUUCGGGAAACCGGAGCUAAUACCGGAUAAUAUUUUGAACCGCAUGGUUCAAAAGUGAAAGACGGUCUUGCUGUCACUUAUAGAUGGAUCCGCGCUGCAUUAGCUAGUUGGUAAGGUAACGGUUUACCAAGGCAACGAUGCAUAGCCGACCUGAGAGGGUGAUCGGCCACACUGGAACUGAGACACGGUCCAGACUCCUACGGGAGGCAGCAGUAGGGAAUCUUCCGCAAUGGGCGAAAGCCUGACGGAGCAACGCCGCGUGAGUGAUGAAGGUCUUCGGAUCGUAAAACUCUGUUAUUAGGGAAGAACAUAUGUGUAAGUAACUGUGCACAUCUUGACGGUACCUAAUCAGAAAGCCACGGCUAACUACGUG
rnacentral:rRNA from 1 species